rnacentral:lncRNA from 1 species
UUUACUGCAUGACCACCUAGUUCAUAACCUGUGAUGUGUUUGUAAACUCCUGAUUUGUAGUGAGCAAAAUCCUGUGAAGAGGUCAAACUAUUAAAAGGUAAAUUUGUCUUAAAAUAAUGAAACCAAGUAAACGCUAUUCCACCCGCAAGAAAACAAAGGUUCCAUAAAAAUGUACUAUUUUAUGUUUGAAGUCUAGAUAUUGCAUGCAAAUGAUGCAGGGAAUAGUUCCGGAUGGUUUCGUUAAUUGAAAGGUCACUUGCAAAGAGGGACCCUUCUAAACGCUUAAACAGGAAGGAAGCAAAGAGGGGUCAUUUUUAAUGCUUUUGUUAAUUCCAAUCAGAUAUAAUAAGCAUGUCCUGCCAGUAUGAUGGGGACAAAAAAAUGACAUAGGAAGUUGCAGUUACACACAUCUUUUUUACAGCAUGUAAGAGACCAAGCGACCAAAAUAAAUAAAUAAAUGAUUCUUAUAGGUUCAUGUUUUUUAUAAAGUGAAUCCAAUGACUCAAAAGUCUGCUAAAGUAGCUUAACAGUUAGGUGGUGACCCAUGGAACACAUAAUAGGGCCAGCUUGUAUUGUAAGGUCUGCUUUAUUUUUGGUGUGUUAAAAUUGUAUCGCCAACAGUUCUGAUUGAUAACACUAGUUUCUAAUUUAAAAAUUAUUGUUUUCUACCUAAGAUCAAUCCAAACCCUCAAAGCAUAAAAGAUGACAAUUGCCCCCAUAUUUGUCCGGAUAGAAUGAGCACCCAAACAAAGGGAGAAAAAUAAAAAGAAAAAUCAAGGAGAGGAGAGGAAAGAAAUCAAAGCCUCUUUCAAGUGUUGGACCAAAUUUUUUGUGAAUGCCUACGUCUUCCCACUCCACAGAUUUAGUAGACUGAAAUACUGAACGCUAAUAAAAAUAAAUUCCUACUUCUAAAACCAUUCCAACCCUUGCACUAAUGAUCCCUUAAUGAGAAUCAUAUGUAUCCUUCAAAAGCCAAUUACUACUUUUCGGGUAUUAAAAAUGUCUGAUCCAUCUCCUUUUCUAUCUGAACUGAGUAUAUUCGGUCCUAAACCUUUUCCAUCUGAUCCUUAUAACCAUCUGCAUUUUAUUCUAUUUUUUCUCAUUAGACAUCUGAUCAUUUUUCUUUACUUGUAAGUUGUAAACAUUAACCCUAAAACAGCACCAAAGUCAUUAAACCCUAAAACAACAAGUAUUUAAUGAAGUUGGAGAAUUCAAAUAUAAAUGUUUGGCCUGUCUUGUACAUGUCUUAAGAGCAUGGCUGCUCAAGAAAGGCAACCAAAAUGAGGCAAAAGAAAAGAUUCGCUGCUGGUGACUAUGGGGGGAAGCUAAUUGUAAUGGAUCUUGGGCUAGCUAAAAGAAAGCACUUAUGCCAAUAUGACAAUUAAGGGGAAAACUUAAUUAGAAGAGUUCUUAAUAAAAAUUGAAACCCACCAUGUUGUAAAAUAAUUGUUUUUUAAAAAUUACUUUAAUUUUUCCAAACCCAACAGCUUUAUCACAAACAAAUUAUCACCCCAGCUCAUUUAUCUCACCCCCCAACCAUUCAGCCUUCACAUAUCUUGUUUAAAGUUUUUACCCAAAAAUAAUCCUCAAUCAUAUCAUAUUCAAUUUGCACACUCAUUAGAUGCCAACACCAAAUUGCACCAGAAAAAAAAAGUUCCCACAAUACCAAAGGGUCAGUGGGGCCAAUUAACUAUAUUUAAUUAUUUGGCAUACAUUAAUUAAAAGUAUUUAGCAUAAAUAUAUCAUAAGAGCUGUUUAGUUUUGUAUAAUAUCGUUUGUCUUUGGGCAACAUUUCUGUCACUAACCCAGACAAUAUAGAAAAAUCCAAAAAUCUGAUAUAAGCCAUUUUGAACAUCUAGAUUUUUUAAUUUUUAUCCGUUUGUGAGAAAAUUUGUAGCUUUAAAAUCAAUUUCCUUUUAUAAUUUAUUUCUUUAAACUCUUCCAACCAAUUAGCAAAUAGCAACAUAUUGUUUUGUUGACUGUUUUUCUGGGUUAACAUAGUGGUUAAAUGUAAUAGAUUCUCUUCACUCACUACUUUGUCUCAUUAAUUAUUGAUUCAACUUUUCAUAUAGUUAAAAAUUCAAAUACUGAAUUUGUUUAGCAUUAAUCUCCUCUCCUAAUUCAAGGCUCAAGCUUGCAGAAAUUUACACCAUUGCCAAAUUUAGCUGUUGAAAUUUAAAAGCUUUCACGUCAGUGAAUCCUGUAAAUCUAGAGCUUGCACUCUAUCAUUGUUGUGACGUUAACUACUCACAUUGCUGCCCUAAAAUGAAUUUUCAUGUUCAUAAUUCAUUGUAUUACAUCUUAGAUGACUGCGCAUCCUAAUUCUUGCAAAAACUAUCCCAACAUUGCAAUCACAUACAAUAAGGAAAGUCCUGUCAAUAUGACAAAGAUAAUGAACUUCACCUUAACCAUAAUUCUAUGAGAAUAAGACACAGAUUUGAAAGAAAUAGCCUAGGGUUGAAGGACAGUUACACUAACUUCAAUAUCGCCCCAAUACAGCUUUACCAAACUACUCUAUAUUUUUCAACUCUUACCAAUACUACUUAUAUGGAAUUUCCACCCUCCUUCGUGUCAAACUUUGAAAGACUACUACUUCACAAUUAGUUUCGGAAUCCAAUAUAAUCUGCCAAAAGAAUGCAACAUAGAUAUUUAUUCUAAAGACAUCUAUAGUCAAACAGAAUGAAAAGCCUCAAAUGAUCAAAGUCACUCUGUGAUCUGAGCUUCCGAAGUUGAAUAUUCACUUCAACUUCCCCACUAAUCUUCUCCUAUACCAUGAAAACCUGGUAAAUAUUUCCUCUAAACACCUAUCCAUAAGUUUGUAUUUUAUAAUAUGCUUUGCAUGUCAGAUCACAUGACACCCAAUCUCACGCACCUUAUCAAUUGUCUCAAAAAUAUUAAUGUAUAAUUAUAAAUUUUAAAUAGGAUGGUUUUGGGUUUUCAGAAAUUGACAAAGGAAGUUGCAGAAAAAUUAAUCGCAAAAGAGUGUGUAAGAGUUUCAUUUACCUCAUAAACAGUGAAUGCAACUUCAACUGGCCCAUUCUUGUAAACUUCCGUCAUGAUAUCAUGGGGAUCAGAGCUCACUCUGUAUGCAUUGACACUAUAGUGUUUUGACUUCUUCCAAACUUGGUUCCCACUUACACACUUUUUAACACACUUGGGAGUCC